rnacentral:tRNA from 1 species
GUUCUUGUAGUUGAGAUGAGAUCAACGACGGCUUUUCAUGCCGUAAGCCUUGGAGAAAAGCCAAGCAGGAAUU